ACGCACGCUGGCGGCAUGCCUCACCCAUGCAAGUCGCACGAGACCUUCGGGUCUAGUGGCGCACGGGUGCGUCACGCGUGGGAACCUGCCCUUAGGUUCGGAAUAACUCCCCGAAAGGGGUGCUAAUACCGGAUAAUGUCUUCGGACCAAAGAUUUAUCGCCUUUGGAUGGGCCCGCGUUGGAUUAGCUAGUUGGUAGGGUAAAAGCCUACCAAGGCGACGAUCCAUAGCUGGUCUGAGAGGAUGAUCAGCCACACUGGGACUGAGACACGGCCCAGACUCCUACGGGAGGCAGCAGUGGGGAAUAUUGGACAAUGGGCGAAAGCCUGAUCCAGCAAUGCCGCGUGAGUGAUGAAGGCCUUAGGGUUGUAAAGCUCUUUUACCCGGGAUGAUAAUGACAGUACCGGGAGAAUAAGCUCCGGCUAACUCCGUG
rnacentral:rRNA from 1 species